AAAGUGAGCGGAUGAACUGAGGGUAGCGGAGAAAUUCCAAUCGAACCUGGAGAUAGCUGGUUCUCUCCGAAAUAGCUUUAGGGCUAGCCUCAAGUGAUGAUUAUUGGAGGUAGAGCACUGUUUGGACGAGGGGCCCCUCUCGGGUUACCGAAUUCAGACAAACUCCGAAUGCCAAUUAAUUUAACUUGGGAGUCAGAACAUGGGUGAUAAGGUCCGUGUUCGAAAGGGAAACAGCCCAGACCACCAGCUAAGGUCCCAAAAUAUAUGUUAAGUGGAAAAGGAUGUGGCGUUGCCCAGACAACUAGGAUGUUGGCUUAGAAGCAGCCAUCAUUUAAAGAGUGCGUAAUAGCUCACUAGUCGAGUGACACUGCGCCGAAAAUGUACCGGGGCUAAACAUAUUACCGAAGCUGUGGAUUGUCCUUUGGACAAUGGUAGGAGAGCGUUCUAAGGGCGUUGAAGCAUGAUCGUAAGGACAUGUGGAGCGCUUAGAAGUGAGAAUGCCGGUGUGAGUAGCGAAAGACGGGUGAGAAUCCCGUCCACCGAUUGACUAAGGUUUCCAGAGGAAGGCUCGUCCGCUCUGGGUUAGUCGGGUCCUAAGCUGAGGCCGACAGGCGUAGGCGAUGGAUAACAGGUUGAUAUUCCUGUACCACCUAUAAUCGUUUUAAUCGAUGGGGGGACGCAGUAGGAUAGGCGAAGCGUGCGAUUGGAUUGCACGUCUAAGCAGUAAGGCUGAGUAUUAGGCAAAUCCGGUACUCGUUAAGGCUGAGC
rnacentral:rRNA from 1 species